rnacentral:lncRNA from 1 species
GUAAUGUUUUGAAUUAAUGAGAUAGGAAAAGCCUAGAAACCCCUUGAAGGCUUAGAUGUAGGAAUAAAUUAAAUGAGGGGUAUAGUAGUAAUUGGAUAAAUAGUUGAUAAAUAUAAAUAGGAAGUAAAAAAAUAAAAUAAAUAUAGAAAUCUGAUUUUGAGAGGAAGAGAAUCGGCAGAAGUGAGAAAGGAAAGAAGAAGAAGAGAAAAGAGGGGAAAAUAAGGGGAAAAAGGAAGAGAAUUGGAGGAAAUAAGUGAAAAAGGUAAGAUUUAGGUUGUUUAAUGUGUAUAAUAUGUUAAUUAAGUUUUAAUUUCAGUUUUAUGAAUGUUAGGGUUUUGAGAAUUUGUGUUCGAUUUAAAUGAUGAAUUAAAUUGAAGGUUAGGGGUGAUUGUUGUUGUUUAAUUGAUGAUUUAGUUGAUUAUGGAAGAUUAUGAUGAUUUGAGUUAUAGAAUUGUGUAAAUGGUGAAAAUUGAGUUAGAAAUCAGGGAGAACAGUGGGGUUUCUGUUAAAAUCUGGACUGGAGGUUGAAGAUGACGAAAAAUUCAAUUUGGUCCCUCAAUUCAGAAAAUUACAGUUAGUCCCCGAACUUUGGAAAAUUACAAAUUGGUCCCUGGAGCAUAUUCCGAGAUUCUGAACAGAAUAACAUAUGAAUUAUGGACAUAAUUACUGUAUAGAUAAGAGAAUUUAACACUUUCAAUUUAGUCCUCCAAUUUGACAAAAAGUACAAUUUGACCCUAAAAAUUUAGUAAAAUUCCAGAAUGAUCCCUGAAGCAUAAUGAUACAUCCUGGACAGAAUUGAGGAUUAAUUAAGGUCAGAAUUUCAGUAUAUUCAUGGAUUUAUGACAAAUUUCAGUUUGGUCCUCCAAUUAGACAAAAGUUACAAUUUGGCCCUAAAAAUAUGAUAAGUUCCAGAUUAGUCCCUAGCUGUAAUAUUAGCUUUUGCAGAUUAGUUUGAUGAAUAAUUAAGGGUUAUUUAGUGAAUUAUUACCAAUUUUAUUAGUUGUUUUUAUUAUGGAUUAGAUUUCGGGAAAACCGUUAGAUUUUGGGUUUUUAAGAAAAUUGACUAGUUAGUUCAAAAACAUAUAGGGUUACGGAAUACACCCUUAGUUAAGUGUAUUAAAUAUUAAAUGUUCUUUCGAGUCGUUUUUGAAUAUGUCUCCUUUGUAUUCAGAUAAUCCUGAUAUUCUACCGGCAGGACGUCAGUAGAAUUUCCUUCGGUUUCAGCUUGUGUGUGUUGUUUGCUUUUGAGUCAGGUGAGUGGAUAAUUUUCCAUAUGCAUGAGAAAUAUUAUAAAUAUUUGAUUUGUUAAUAUGAAUUGGAUCAUGCUUCUUGAUAAUAUAUAUGCUGAUUAUUAUCCUUGAUAUGAUAAAGCAUGAUCAAUUAUUGAAUCUGAUUUCUUGAUAUGAACCAAUAUGAUUUGACUUCUGAAUUGAUAGCUCCUCAUUUGAUGGAUGUCAUGAGUUGAGCUUUGAGAUAUGAAUAUGUUUGUUUGAUUAUGAUUAUGAACCUAUGGUAUGUCAGUCAGAAUACCCAUGCUAACAGGGUAGUGUUAGUCUUUGUGCACAUCGUAUCUGAACCCUAGUUGGUCGGGGGAGUCACCAACCUGUGUGGACUGAUCAUCCCACAGUACGGAGCCUCAUGCUCAUUGCAUUUUGAUUUUCUGACGAGUUUUACCAUAUGAUAUUCUUGUUAUGGCCUAUUUGAUAAACCUUCGUAUAAGAACUAAAGCCAUACUUGUAUAUAUAUUUCUCAUUGUUAUAUUACCUCGUAUGUGUAUAUUGAAUGUUAUCUACUCACUGAGUUGUUGAACUCACCCUCUCAUUAUUUAUUCUUUUCAGGCUUAUAGCUUGAUAGCGGGUUACUUUUGUUGAACCUUCCGAACCUGCUUUUGGUUGUAAUUUGUAUCUUUCUUUUUAUGUCAAGUUAGUGCUCCAAAACUAUGAAAAAUUAUUAACUCUUGUAUUAAG